UCCAGAGGUGGCAAGCGUUGUUCGGAAUUACUGGGCGUAAAGGGCGCGUAGGCGGCUUGGUCAGUCCCGUGUGAAAUCCCUCGGCUCAACUGAGGAACUGCACGGGAAACUGCCUGGCUUGAGUUCGGGAGAGGGAAGCGGAAUUCCGGGUGUAGCGGUGAAAUGCGUAGAUAUCCGGAGGAACACCGGUGGCGAAGGCGGCUUCCUGGACCGACACUGACGCUGAGACGCGAAAGCGUGGGGAGCAAACAGG
rnacentral:rRNA from 1 species